ACUACGGGUGGCAGCAGUGAGGAAUAUUGGUCAAUGGGCGGGAGCCUGAACCAGCCAAGUCGCGUGAGGGAAGACGGUCCUAUGGAUUGUAAACCUCUUUAGGCGGGGAGCAAUGCCGGGCACGCGUGCCCGGAGGGAGAGUACCCGCAGAAUAAGCAUCGGGAAACUCCGUGCCAGCAGCCGCGGUAAUACGGGGGAUGGGAGCGUUAUCCGGUUUUAUUGGGUUUAAAGGGUGCGUAGGCGGAUUUUUAAGUCAGCGGGAAAAUGGCCGGGCUCAACGGGGUGAAGUGCCAUUGAUACUGCCUGGCUGGAAUGCGGAUGCCGUGGGAGGAAUGUGUGGUGUAGCGGUGAAAUGCAUAGAUAUCACACAGAACACCGAUUGCGAAGGCAUCUCACGAAUCCGCGAUUGACGCUGAUGCACGAAAGCGUGGGUAUCAAACAGGAUUAGAUACCCGAGUAGUC
rnacentral:rRNA from 1 species